rnacentral:lncRNA from 1 species
CGGCUGCUUGUUGGAUGGAACGUGCCAGUUAUAGCUGAUGGUGGUAUUUCAUACUCUAGACGUAUUGUCAAUGCAAGGACGGCCACCAAGUAAGAAAGAAAAAUACAAAGACAUGGGCUCCAUCGAAGCCAUGACAAAGCAAUAAUAUAUGAGAUCAUAUAUCUGCAUCUGCGUCUGUCUACCAGUAUCAUCCAGCAAACAUUUGUAUCCAUCCGACAGAAAAUCCAGG